GAGAUGUUAGUAAAAUUAUAUAACUUUGUCAAAGUUAAGUUACAGGUGAAAGCCUUGUACAUCUCA
rnacentral:tRNA from 1 species